rnacentral:tRNA from 1 species
GCCUUCGUAGUAUAAUGGCUAUUACUUCGGAUUUGUAACCCGAAGAUAGGUGUUCAAUUCACCUCGAAGGCA